UACGAAGGGGGCUAGCGUUGCUCGGAAUCACUGGGCGUAAAGGGUGCGUAGGCGGGUCUUUAAGUCAGGGGUGAAAUCCUGGAGCUCAACUCCAGAACUGCCUUUGAUACUGAGGAUCUUGAGUACGGGAGAGGUGAGUGGAACUGCGAGUGUAGAGGUGAAAUUCGUAGAUAUUCGCAAGAACACCAGUGGCGAAGGCGGCUCACUGGCCCGUUACUGACGCUGAGGCACGAAAGCUAGGGGAGCAAACGGG
rnacentral:rRNA from 1 species